GACAGAGGGUGCAAACGUUGUUCGGAAUUACUGGGCGUAAAGCGUGUGUAGGCGGCCGCGCAAGUCGGAUGUGAAAGCCCCGGGCUCAACCCGGGAAGUGCACCCGAUACUGCAUGGCUCGAGUACUGGAGAGGUUGGUGGAAUUCUCGGUGUAGAGGUGAAAUGCGUAGAGAUCCGGAGGAACACCAGUGGCGAAGGCGACACGCUGGGCCGUACCUGACACUGAUGCGCGACAGCAUGGGGAGCAAACAGG
rnacentral:rRNA from 1 species